rnacentral:lncRNA from 1 species
UUUGAUACCAAUGUGUUUGAACAGCAUAUUGUUGGUCUUUUAAAAAAAACAAAAACAAAAACAAAAACAAAAAAACCCUCUUUUUCUACUCAGAAGAAUCAAUUAGAAGAGACUAUAUAAAAGAAGGGCAGACCCCAUCUAGUUAGAGGUCUGACUGGCCUGGGUGGGACAUCUUUGGGGAGAGGUUUGAGGGAUGGAGGGGUGUGAAACCAGGUAAAGAUUAUUUGCUUGAAUUGGCAUCCACAGCUCUGAGUGAGAGAAAGUGUGGUUACAGACACAGAGAGUAGAAGCAUCAGAGUCACAGGUAAAGGUUUCUAUAUAAAAGUGUUGAUAGAAGUGUCUCCACAUGAUGGGCAGACUGAGGAUAAACAAGAGGGACUACAUAGAGAAGAAGCUUGACAGUUUUGAGAAACAUAGCUGUGUAAUGUUUGAAGCAAAAGACUCGUCUGCCCUAAUGAAGCUAUCCAGAAUCCUUAAAGACAUGGCUUUAGCUCUUUAUGAUGUCAGCUAAACAGGACCAGGUUUCGGCACAAGCCCCUUCUUCAGACUUUACUGCCCUUUUUUCCACUAGUAGAUUAAAUGAACCAGACCACAGCAGGAAUCCUUCAAGCUAAAGGCAUCUGACAUCCUCUGAGAUGGUAAAUUUGCCCGGAAGUCCUGUUUCAUAAAACAAGGCUAACCUAAGGAUCCAUAUAUUGCCCUUUGUGGGGUAACUAAACUGUAGAACUGGAAAUGAUCCAUCAAAAGUAGCCUGAGCUGUGCCACUAAAAGUCCCUCCCUCCACUUUUGAAAAUCCAAAGUGUCUCUAGAUGCCUACAUUGUUAGGAUGUAGAAUAUGACCCCAUCCAGCUUCAAGGGUAUGGGACUCAACCCCAAUCACAAAUCAAGGUGUAGAGAUAUUGGAGAAAUAUGAAGUCCUAUCAGUUGCUGCUUCUAUCUGUAUUCAUAUAGAGUUAGUUGAGAGAUAUAUUACCAUGAGGGUGAAAACUGGCCCAAGAUGAAUUUACCUCCCCAAAUCCAUAAUGAUGUUAGUGAGGAUGAAAGAGUGGCUAUAUCACACAAUCAGCUAAAAGCACCAGAUGAAGAGGGUGUUUGUAGGUAUGUUACCUUUGGCUACUGGGAUGCCAUGCUGCUAGUAUUACUAAAGAGACCUGUUCACAUUUCUCCAGUUAGUGUGUAGAGCUUGGAGACAGGUGUACAUGGCAAAGCCUGGGUGGGCUCCCAUCACCCUAACAAUGUACAGGCUUUGCUUUCAUUUCAUCAACAUGUUGGGCAACUUGCACUGGAGGAUUAAUUUUCAUAUAUAUAAUCUCUCUAUUUUAAAAAAUCAAACUCUGGUCUCACUGCCUUAUCUUACACCUGUCUAUAUCCCAAAGAUGACUUAGUUUCUUUGGUAUAUCAUGGAUAUGGAUGUCUUUGGUUCAGAGUAAGAGACUGUGUGUGUGUGUGUGUGUGUGUGUAUGUGUGUGUGUGUGUGUGUGUGUGUGUGUGUGUGAGAGAGAGAGAGAGAGAGAGAGAGAGAGAGAGAAUCUUUAUAGGAACAUUGUAAUGCCUCGGGACAUUAGUAACCCCUCACAGUAUUUAGUCACCGUAUUUAUGUCUUUUUUUUUCCCUACCCUUGGUAUGAGGGGAAAUGAUUGAUAUUCAAGCAAGUUCUCUAGGGGGAGACAACAACCAUAGCCAGAUUCUUUCCAGCUCAGAUAUCUGUGUCAGCUCAGAAUGUAUCUUUUUCAUGCUUUGCUCUGUGGAUUUAUAACUGUUUAGACUCUUCCAUACAUUUUAGGUAUAUUUUGUGCCUUCAGACACUGCAAAUAAUAAUCAGCAUUUGGAUUAAAGUUGUUUAAUAAUAAAACAUGUCUACUCC